rnacentral:rRNA from 1 species
UACAGGGGGUGCAAACGUUGCUCGGAAUCAUUGGGCGUAAAGCGCACGUAGGCGGUUUGCCCAGUCAGAUGUGAAAUUCCUGGGCUCAACCUGGGGGCUGCAUUUGAUACGUGUAGACUUGAGUGGGGAAGAGGGUCGUGGAAUUCCCAGUGUAGAGGUGAAAUUCGUAGAUAUUGGGAAGAACACCGGUGGCGAAGGCGGCGACCUGGUCCUUGACUGACGCUGAGGCGCGAAAGCGUGGGGAGCAAACAGG